rnacentral:rRNA from 1 species
UUUGCGUCGAAGGUAUACCGGUAAGGAGUGCUGGAGCGAAUAGAAGUGAGCAUGCAGGCAUGAGUAGCGAUAAUUAAUGUGAGAAUCAUUAACGCCGUAAACCCAAGGUUUCCUACGCGAUGCUCGUCAUCGUAGGGUUAGUCGGGUCCUAAGUCGAGUCCGAAAGGGGUAGACGAUGGCAAAUUGGUUAAUAUUCCAAUACCAACAUUAGUGUGCGAUGGAAGGACGCUUAGGGCUAAGGGGGCUAGCGGAUGGAAGUGCUAGUCUAAGGUCGUAGGAGGUUAUACAGGCAAAUCCGUAUAACAAUACUCCGAGAACUGAAAGGCUUUUUGAAGUCUUCGGAUGGAUAGAAGAACCCCUGAUGCCGUCGAGCCAAGAAAAGUUUCUAAGUUUAGCUAAUGUUGCCCGUACCGUAAACCGACACAGGUGGGUGGGAUGAGUAUUCUAAGGCGCGUGGAAGAACUCUCUUUAAGGAACUCUGCAAAAUAGCACCGUAUCUUCGGUAUAAGGUGUGGUUAGCUUUGUAUUAGGAUUUACUCCGAAAGCAAGGAAACUUACAACAAAGAGUCCCUCCCGACUGUUUACCAAAAACACAGCACUCUGCUAACUCGUAAGAGGAUGUAUAGGGUGUGACGCCUGCCCGGUGCUCGAAGGUUAAUUGAUGGGGUUAGCAUUAGCGAAGCUCUUGAUCGAAGCCCGAGUAAACGGCGGCCGUAACUAUAACGGUCCUAAGGUAGCGAAAUUCCUUGUCGGUUAAAUACCGACCUGCAUGAAUGGCGUAACGAGAUGGGAGCUGUCUCAAAGAGGGAUCCAGUGAAAUUGUAGUGGAGGUGAAAAUUCCUCCUACCCGCGGCAAGACGGAAAGACCCCGUGGACCUUUACUACAGCUUGACACUGCUACUUGGAUAAGAAUGUGCAGGAUAGGUGGGAGGCUUUGAGUAUAUGACGCCAGUUGUAUAUGAGCCAUUGUUGAGAUACCACUCUUUCUUAUUUGGGUAGCUAACCAGCUUGAGUUAUCCUCAAGUGGGACAAUGUCUGGUGGGUAGUUUGACUGGGGCGGUCGCCUCCCAAAUAAUAACGGAGGCUUACAAAGGUUGGCUCAGAACGGUUGGAAAUCGUUCGUAGAGUAUAAAGGUAUAAGCCAGCUUAACUGCAAGACAUACAAGUCAAGCAGAGACGAAAGUCGGUCUUAGUGAUCCGGUGGUUCUGUGUGGAAGGGCCAUCGCUCAAAGGAUAAAAGGUACCCCGGGGAUAACAGGCUGAUCUCCCCCAAGAGCUCACAUCGACGGGGAGGUUUGGCACCUCGAUGUCGGCUCAUCGCAUCCUGGGGCUGGAGCAGGUCCCAAGGGUAUGGCUGUUCGCCAUUUAAAGCGGUACGCGAGCUGGGUUCAGAACGUCGUGAGACAGUUCGGUCCCUAUCUGCCGUGGGCGUAAGAAGAUUGAAGAGAUUUGACCCUAGUACGAGAGGACCGGGUUGAACAAACCACUGGUGUAGCUGUUGUUCUGCCAAGAGCAUCGCAGCGUAGCUAAGUUUGGAAAGGAUAAACGCUGAAAGCAUCUAAGCGUGAAGCCAACUCUAAGAUGAAUUUUCUCUAAGCUCUCUAGAAGACUACUAGUUUGAUAGGCUGGGUGUGUAAUGGAUGAAAGUCCUUUAGCUGACCAGUACUAAUAGAGCGUUUGGCUUAUCUUUAAUAAAGCAU